UCACAGUUGGGGUUAUAGAAGAGUCGAGCACCGUAGGAAGCCCAUUCACGUGAGGAAGCCCCGUAUGCAUAAGCAGACAUUCCCAUCUUCCCCAUCCUCCCCCAGCCCCAAGGAGCCACUCUUCUCUCUCUGUGGGUUUGCCUGUGCUGGACAUUUCAUGUAAAUCGAGUCACUUCUUUAUGUUUUGGUUACUGAGACCCUCGAAUUCCCAUAUGAAUUGUAGCAGCAGCUAGUCAGUUACUGCAGAGGAGCCCGCUGGGAUUGUGAUUAAGACCACGUUGAGUAUACGGAUCGUUCUGGGGAGC